rnacentral:lncRNA from 1 species
UUCCAGCCGAGCUCCUACGAGAGCCGACCUUCUACUACGAGCGGUCUACUCCGAACUCCUACAGUAGACGAUCUACCCCGGAUCUCUACUAUAAGCAGAUUUCAUUCGGACCUCUACUGUAAACAGAUUUCUUCCGAACUUCCAUUACAGGUAGACUUCAAUCGAGUUUCUUCGAAGCCGGAUCUCGGACGAGCUUCUACUAGGGGGCAAGAUCCACCGGCCAGGUCGUUACUCCAAGCUCCUACAACAACUGAUCUUCGAUCGAGCUCCAACAAUAAGCGACCUCCUUUCGGCCUCCCACGAGAAUCGGACUCCAUCCGAUCUUCCACAGUGGAUGGAUUUCGGAUGAGCUUUCGCAACGGACGGGCUCCAGUAGUUGGAUUUCUACAACGAUCGAUCACCCCUGGAUCCCCCAUACUCCUCCAGCAGGCGAGUCUCUCCAGCGCUAUCCGAAGUCCAUCACCGGCUGACCUCCUACCAGGCUCCCAGUAAAAUCGAACUUCCCCGGCGGACGAUCUUUAGAUGAGCUUCCACGCCAGGC